CAGCAGCCGCGGUAAAACCAGCACCUCGAGUGGUCAGGAGGUUUAUUGGGCCUAAAGCAUCCGUAGCCGGUUGCAUAAGUUUUCGGUUAAAUCUAUGCGCUUAACGUAUAGGCCGCCGAAAAUACUGUGCAGCUAGGGAGUGGGAGAGGUACACGGUACUCGAUAGGAAGGGGUAAAAUCCUUUGAUCUAUUGAUGACCACCUGUGGCGAAGGCGGUGUACCAGAACACGUUCGACGGUGAGGGAUGAAAGCUGGGGGAGCAAACCGGAUUAGAUACCCGCGUAGUCCCUGUCUCUUAUAC
rnacentral:rRNA from 1 species